UACGGAGGGUGCAAGCGUUAUCCGGAUUCACUGGGUUUAAAGGGUGCGUAGGUGGGCAGGUAAGUCAGUGGUGAAAUCUCCGGGCUUAACUCGGAAACUGCCAUUGAUACUAUCUGUCUUGAAUACCGUGGAGGUUAGCGGAAUAUGUCAUGCAGCGGUGAAAUGCUUAGAUAUGACAUAGAACACCAAUUGCGAAGGCAGCUGGCUACACGAAUAUUGACACUGAUGCACGAAAGCGUGGGGAUCAAACAGG
rnacentral:rRNA from 1 species